rnacentral:lncRNA from 1 species
UGGUAACAAUUUUGCAUUUUGUUUCCUUAAAAGCUUCUUUCUGGCUCUGUAGGCACUUUAUACCCUCACAUUACAAAUGCUAGCUUAGUCCUUAGUUAGGACUCUGUAUGGUGAGGCUUUAGGAGUUCUGUUAGAUACUGGGUAAUGGUGUUAUGAAUUGCAUCCCAUUUAGUUAAGCCCUGUUACAAAUUGUUUUGUAUCCAGGGAGAUACUCCUGUGCAGUACUUUUCGUGAAAUCCCUUUAAGUCUCAAUUAGAAACCCUCUAGAGAAACUGGACAAAGCUUGUAUGUUUUUAUACACAGCUGUUGCUGUAUAGAUGUGCAUUAUUAAAGUGUUUUAUUUGCAUAUAGACUUUUUAAUUUAAUUGAUAUAAACAGGGAUAAAGAAGGACAAUAGCUUUUCUUAGAUUGUUGCUUUUUUUUUUUCACAGUAGCUUUUCUUUUUUCUGUUGUCUUUCUAGGAGGUGAAAGGAUGUACUUAAUUUUAAAGGACUUGCUGUUUGUUUGGUUUGGUUUGGUUUUGGUGGUGGUGGUAGUGGGAUUGAAUCCAGGACCUUGUAUGUGCUAACAAGUCAAGACUCUACUACUGAACUGCCUCCCCAACCCACUAUUCCUUAUUUUUAAUGAAAACAAAUACACAGUUCAGCUUGGGCAUAUUUAAUUUGUGGCUCUUUGUUAUGAAGACUGAGUUCAUGAAAACCCAGAUUAUUCAUACAUAAAGUAAACAAUAUCAGUGUGUGGAUAAGUUCAUGUACACUUGUCCACAAAUGUUCCUCAGAUCUCCUCAAAACCUUAGUAGAUUUAUAUUAGGCUUACGAUCUUGAUUUAGAAUGGAUGUGUUUUUUUUCAAUCAGUGUACUAAGGUUAAAUUUUGUUGUGUUUCACACUUAAAAGUUGUUGAUGUUUACAUAAGAUUUUUCUCAUGUGACUUUAGCUUCCAUUUUAUUUUUAAGGAGAGCUGAAGCAUUUGUGAGGAAUACCUGCUUUCUAGCUUUAGGUGAAGGUUUGGACGUUUAAGGUGUAGUGUUAAAUCAGAAAUGUUAAAUAUUUCAUUUUAGUUUCUUGUGGUUUCAUGAUAGUGUUGUUUUAAUAACCAAAGGAACAUUCCCCAUUAAAAGUAGCAAGAAGAAGUUUUUCUUAUCAGGGGAAGGCAUUUUUGUUUUUUUUUAAAAGGUGACUUACAAGCAACAAUGAUAAUUACAUUAGACAUUUUUGGUGACUAUGGAAAAUUAUAAGAAAUUGAAAUUUAGCACUUUAGUCUUUUUCCUAUAAAUACAGUUUUCCAUUAAAUAAGGUAAUAUUUAUUCUAGAAAAUAUGAAUUACAGUGCUAAACCUGAUUUUGUUGUAUGUGAAUUUAUUAUGGAAACUUUUGUAAAAUGUUUCUUUACAUGGAAAUUUCUCUGUAGGCAAUUAUUGGUCUAUAUUGAUUUGAUUUUACCUGUAGAACUAAGAGCCCCUCGUUGAGUGACUAUUCAGAUUUCAAAGUGACUUGAAUUGUUUACAUAGCUUCUACCUGAAGGAUUUAGAAUCUGUUUUCUGAUAGCAAAACUAAUAUAUAUGGUGGCCAGAGUAUAAUUAUGUUAAUACUUUGGCCUGGGAGAUAAUUUAUCAUGAGCUUUUACUAUUUGAAAUGUUAUACAUUUGCCUACUAUUUUAUAAAUGAUGUUGCCUUCAGAAUUUGUGUGAAGGUAGAAAAUUCAAAAUAUCUCGCAUCUUUUGCCAAUGUGAAGUCUUGUCAUUGUCAGAUGCGUUUUGAUGUCCUAAAUAUGAUUGCAGAAAUUGUUCUGUUGCUCUUAAAAAAAUGAAUCUACACAUGACAAAAUCCAUGCUAUCUGGGUAAUUCUCCCAACUUGUAAGGCUGAGGACUGUGGUGUGCAUUGUUCUUUAGCGCCUUCCACCAGCAGUGCCUCCAGUUAAAAUGUGACCGUCUCCCAAUGUUAAAGAAACUGGACAUAUGCUUUCUCUGUUAUUUUUGUUAGACAUAAGAAAGUAAUAUGUUUCUUUUCCUGUUGUAACAUUUUACAAAAGAGCUGCUAGUCAGGUCUUCUAAAAUUAAUCUCAAACUGGAUGUAAGAAUUUAAAAAUAUUUUUUAAUUUAUUUUUUUAAUAGUAGUAUAAGAACUCUGGCUGCUAUUUAGUUGUUAUUCUGUUUUCUGGAUAGAAGCUAUUUUAAAAAGUCCAGUUUCUGUCCCAGGGUAGCAAAAUGUACUUCCUCAUUUUGUUGUUUUGUGCUUUAUAAAUUUACACUACCUUUUGAAUAUACAAACCUCAUUCUUCAUUAGACAACGUGAAGGCUUUGGGUUUUUUGAAGUUAAAUUUGAAGGUGCAGUUUGCUUUGGCAUUCCCUCAGCUCCAGAUGUAUUAACUACUGUGCUUGCAGAGGCCAGGACUAAGAUUGUACUAUGAAACUUACUGAGUAGUUUUCAUAAAUUAUUAUCAAAUGAGAGAUUUUUAGAUUUUUGUAUUCUGCUUAGUUUAAAAAAACAAAACAACAAAGAGUAGUUACCAUGAGGGGCUGGUACGUUGAUGCUGUUGUUGCCAAACAAACUUAGGCGAAUCCCUAACAUAGCAGGUGUGGAGAGGAUGACGCGUGGCUUUGAUGAAUGUUGGAAAGGAGCUUCUGCAGCCUUGACUGUACUGGGUCUGUGAAGGCGCACACGUGCCUUUGUAAAUGUUCAUUCUCGGCCUCAUGAACCAGGUGAUGAGUGCUAAAAUGGAGCCGAGCUGAAGAAUAGAACUCAAUAUCACUUCUGUGAACAAGUUGCAAUUGUCAUGUUACUGUGUAAUUGGUUUGCUUUUAAGAUGAACAAUAAAUUAAAU